AGCUCUCUCUCUCUCUCACUCUCUCUCUCUCUCACCCUCCCACACGCGCGCACACACGCGCACGCGCUUAACGACGCAUGUGAACUACUUUUCGUUGACAAACGCACGUGGCCCCGCUAUUUACUCAUCUGUCGGUCUAUGGAGUUACCCGUCUAAUAAAACUCGCCUAUGUCGCGACUCACGAUCCCCUUUAUUGGGGACCACAUGCUGCGAUGGUUUGAUGAUUUGAACCGUCAAUUUCCAAGAUACUUUCGUUAGCAAACCAUGGUCCAUUAAUCAAGCGUCAGUGAUGAUCCUGACAACUGAUUUUUGAAUUUAAGUGCCAACCAUUGAAAUUUACCUUUUAAUGUUUUAAAUUCAUCUGCACAUAAAGAUGCUCAGAAUCGUCUGUCCUAACUCCUAAGUAUCACAAUAGCAAGGCAUCCCGGAAAUGGACGGUUCCGAUCAUCGCACUCUCUCAUGCGAUCAUGAUUAUCGAAAGCGAGGGAGACAUGAGUUCAAAUUUCCAUUGGAAUGGAUAUUUAUGAUGCGUGGACCGCACUUAGGAACAUCAUAAAUCGGUUUUGAAUUUUCAGUUUUGACAUGUAGGGCCCACGGUUUGGAAAUCCAGACCAUUGGCCUGUUGAGUCUCAGUACGGAUGGACUCGAAAAUUGCGCAAAUUGGAAUAUCCUAGUCACCAUUAAGAGACUUUUUUUCAGUUGAAAGUAGACGGAUGUAGUAUUCUGUUCUCAGCGGUCUCUCUGUGGAGCCCAAAUCCAACGGUUGUGAUCUUCUUUUAAAAAAGAUUCUCAAUGCAUCGUCCAUGACGCCGCAGGUCAUCGGUCUACUUUUCCUGCGGACGCGCAUUGCUCGGUGAGUCGGUGACCCAACCACGACCGACCUCCGUGGCGACUAUCGUUACAGGAUUGGAACGGGCCACGUGUAUCUGACAAAGAUGUCCCCGUCGUGUGUCGUACCUAACAGCUUUCAAAUACCAGCGGAGCGGAUUGAGUCCUGCCCUUGCCACGACGGACUUGGUCAUGGUAGGGGCUCUGUGUGGCCACCGUUUUGUAUAUGUUUUAUCCCCACAAUCAAUCCAUUUUGACAAAACAUUUUCGCGCAUGCGGCAAAAAAGAGGUAGGUUCUGACGCCGACGCACCGUUAAAACCUUCUAGGGCCCAGGAUCAUGUUUAUUUGCAAUCCAACCUGUUUAUAAGUUCGCUUAGACCAGAAUUAAAUAAAAACACAAAUAUCAAACUUGAUCAAACUUUUGCAGCUCCGAAGAUGUUUUUAAUGGUGGUGGUUCAAUCUUUA